UACAGAGGGUGCAAGCGUUGUUCGGAAUUAUUGGGCGUAAAGCGCGUGUAGGCGGCUUUGCAAGUCGGGUGUGAAAGCCCUCAGCUCAACUGAGGAAGUGCGCCCCGAAACUGCAGAGCUUGAGUGCCCGGAGAGGGUGGCGGAAUUCCCCCAAGUAGAGGUGAAAUUCGUAGAUAUGGGGAGGAACACCGAUGGCGAGGGCGGCCACCUGGACGGUAACUGACGCUGAGACGCGAAAGCGUGGGUAGCAAACAGG
rnacentral:rRNA from 1 species